CAUAAUGCCCAGUUAUUAUGCUGGCUACAAUGCCCUUCAAAUAGGGACACAACAGUGCAUGCUCAAUCCUAAAAAUAGACAUUGUGGGUUGGCACUAGGCACCACAGCAAUUGAUAGGUAGUCAGAUGGUCCCUCGCAUAGGAGAGACCUACAACCAUUAAAGAAGUGUGAACGUAUACCUACUCAAAAUAUUUCAAAGUUUUAUUAAGUUAGUAGUUAUCAUUUAGAAAUAAGGUUAAAUAUAUUAUUAUUUCCGAAAAAAAAAUUGUGAAAAUUGGAGAUUUAUUUUAUAUCUUACAAUAAAAUAUAUUGCUUGGUUUUUCUUAAAAUGUUUUGCAAUUUCUGAUUCAACUCACCCAACUUACCAUAUUGCUUAUCGCGCGUUAUAAAAAAAUACUUAUUAGGAAAAUUAAAUAACAUAACUUUAAAGUAAGCGGUAAUUCAUAGAGUUAAAUAUAAUACUAAUAAAACCUCUCGUGUAAUGUGAGUCACGUAGCCGGUAAUGCUUUAUUAGUUUUGACUUGGGAAAAGUACUACUUUAAAUUAAAUAUUACAUUGUGAGAUUUAUAAUACACUUUGUCGAACAAACAUAUGUAUCACCCGUGUGAUUGUGUGAAAUAAAUGUUUGAGAAAACAAUGUACUCUUGUAUAAACAGGGAUUAUUUGAUAGAGUGAUAAAAAAGAAGUUACUUUAACUAGCUUUGUUAUUCAUUUCCUAGUUAAAUUUAGUUCAGAAUGAAGUAUUAGAUUUUUAUUUACAGUCAGUGAAGUGAACGAUGAGUCCGUUGUAAAAAAAGAGUUCACGAAUUCGCUCCCGUAACAGAAUUUAGGUAUUUUGAAACUGCAAUGACUAUUUGCAGCCCUUUAAUUGCGUCAGACACACAAUUAGAUACAAAACAAUGGUUUGUACUAUAAUUUCAAUAAAUAAAUUCAUAGUUCAUUCGCAAUCAGGUUAAAAAACGACAAAAUAAUUAAAACACCACCGCAAAUUGUGAUGCGAUUAUAUAUUUUAUUGGGGUUAAUCCUCAUUAUGGUACCACAAAACAUAUUAUGAACUAUACAUAUGUCGGUGAUCUGUGUGUGAAGAUAAUAGCUGUGAACAAGAACUUCGCUGAUGAUCGAAGAACUUUUAUUGGGACACCCCGACACGUAUCUUCUCGUUAUUGCUUCCGCAUGAUAAGACGGCGCGGCGUGAUUCGUAUUGCAUCUAUUUUUUUUGUAAUGUUUGUUACCUCAAAACUCAGUAAUUUAUUAAACGAUUUGGAUUUUUUUUUCUUAUUUGAAUAAUAUACUUCUAAAUUGGU